rnacentral:rRNA from 1 species
GACGAACGCUGGCGGCGUGCUUAACACAUGCAAGUCGAACGGAAAGGCCCUGCUUUUGUGGGGUGCUCGAGUGGCGAACGGGUGAGUAACACGUGAGUAACCUGCCCUUGACUUUGGGAUAACUUCAGGAAACUGGGGCUAAUACCGGAUAGGAGCUCCUGCUGCAUGGUGGGGGUUGGAAAGUUUCGGCGGUUGGGGAUGGACUCGCGGCUUAUCAGCUUGUUGGUGGGGUAGUGGCUUACCAAGGCUUUGACGGGUAGCCGGCCUGAGAGGGUGACCGGCGUCAUUGGGACUGAGAGACGGCCCAGACUCCUACGGGAGGCAGCAGUGGGGAAUAUUGCAGAAUGGGCGCAAGCCUGAUGCAGCAACGCCGCGUGCGGGAUGACGGCCUUCGGGUUGUAAACCGCUUUCGCCGGUGACGAAGCGUGAGUGACGGUAAUGGGUAAAGAAGCACCGGCUAACUACGUG